rnacentral:lncRNA from 1 species
GCGUGGACUCUGGACUUGUGCUCCUCUGUCGUUUGUCCCAGCUGUGCCCAGUUUCCCCUUCUGAGCCAGGUAUGAAUCUUGGCCUCCUCGGUGGCCACAGCUUUCUGCUAAGCCUCGGUCUUCUUCCCGGCAGGAGAGACCUUUGACCCAUGUGCAUCCUGAUCCGUGGCCAGGGGCGUACCCAGUACUGCGGUGCGCCACUCUGGAGGGCUCACCCAGACAUCAGUGCUCCAUGGGAAUGCUGUGAAGACCCAGGGCUCUGAAACAAUAGCCAUGCUAAUUCCUCUGUUGGUGUUUACCCAAGACAUGAAGACCGGAACAGGAAGAGACACUCGUGGGUUAUUCAUAAUCAACCAGACCAAUCCAUGAAUGGCAACGUUGAUGGUGGUAUUUUCCCUCAGAAACUGUCCCUGGGAAAGAAAAGUAACCCAUGAUGAAUGUGGUCCUCUAAGCACAUCUCAGAAGCACGGUGCCGAGGGAGAGAAACCAGACUCCUUACAUGACACCGUGGGGUUGGCAAGAGAAUAGAGACAGAAAUCAGUCCCGUGGCUGUCAGGGAUGGAAGCAGGGGUGGGGUGCACAAUGGGAUUUGUUUGCAAAGCGUCUCAAAGAACUUUGUGGAAAGAAGUCUAAGCCGCAGUACUGGUCAAAGCUUAUUUCAUUGUACUGAAAGAAGAUGAACUUAAGGUAUUACCUUUUUCAAGUAAUGGGACGAGUUAAGAAGAGAGAGCUACUAAAAGGCUGCAUCCUCCCAUCUAGCAAGGCCUCCUAGACCUUAGGCUUUGCUGCAGUGGCAAAGAUAAAUGUGAUGAAGACUGGGGCUGGAGAGAUGGCUCAGUGGUUAAGAGCACUAGCUGCUCUUCCAUCUGUAAUGGGACCUGAUGGUCUCUUCUGGUGUGUCUGAAGACAGCGAGAGUGUACUCACAUAUAAAAUAAAUACAUCUUCAAAAAAAAAAAGUGAGAAGACACAAUGCCCUGGGACUAGGUGUGAAUGUCCUUGUCCCAAGCUCCUUCCAUCCAAAGGACCACCCUACUUGUCUUCAGGCUGCCCACCCGUCUCCUUUUAGCCAGAAGGGUGAUUCUGCUUUUCCACCAUUAUAAUCAGCAUUCUCUGUCUGAUAGAAUCUUCUAGAGAAGGGAGGUUUAAAGCAUGCACAAACACAUGCAUGACACACAAACACACAAGUUUAUUCUAGAGAGUUGGUUCAUAGAGCCAUGGAGGCUAACAUGCCCCCAUACUCUGCAGUUCUCUGGCUGGAAACCCAGGAGAGAUAAUGGUGUAAUUCUAGUUGGAAGCUAGCAGACCUGAGACCCAGUGAGACCCAGUGUUUCUCGUUGACUCCAAACAGAGAAGAGAAGCCAUUGUGAAGACCACAAGGCAAAAGGAGGUCCUUCUUGCUCAUGGGAGCAUCGUUCUUCAUUGUCUGUUGAAGAUUUUCGGUCCUCAGGAGGCCUUUUUCCUUCAAUCACUCUACCAACUUAAAUAUUCAUCUCACCCAGAACACCUCACAUGUAAAUCCAGAAUCACUCUUGGCCAAAUAAGUGGACAGCCCACAGCCCAUUUAAGAUGACACAUAAACUUGUGUUGGGUAGUUUUAUGUCAACUUGACACAAGCUAGAGUUAUCUGAGAAGCAACCACAAUUGAGAAAACGCCUCCAGAGAUUGGCCUGUAGCUAAGUCUGUGGGGCAUUGUCUCAACUAAUGAUUGAUGUAGGAGUGCCCAGCCUACAGGGGAUGCUGCUGCCCCUGGUCAAGUGGUCCCCAGUUGUAUAAGAGAGAAGCCCAAGCGAGCUAUGGCUAGCAAACAGAUUCAUGUUCACAUGGCUUCUGCUCCGGUUCCUGCCUCCAAGUUCCUGCCCUGGCUUCCUUCAGGGAUGGACUUAUACACUGUAAGGUGAAAUAAACUCUUUCCUUCCC